CCCAUUCAUCAAAUUGUCCGAUGUACAGAGGAAACCACCGGACAUAUUUUGUCCGACCUAAGUGAAACUGAGGUCUAUUGUUUGUCCGACCCGAUUGUAUUGGUGUCCGACCGAACUGUAGCUUUGUCUGACGCUUUCUCCACGCACGUAAAUCAAAAUGUACCCUAGUCCAGAACCAGAGUUUGUAUAAAAAUGAACCGAAAUGUUGCGGGGCGGCCAGUGAAAUGGUGAGGUGGAAAACGGGCUUAAGUUAUCGAAGUCGUACUGCUAUCAUUGGCAAGCAAGUUAAUUUUGGCUUGGAAAUAAGUAUGAAUGACACAAAUUAUUUAAUAUCUUCACAAC